rnacentral:rRNA from 1 species
AUGUCCAAGUCGGGCGAAGAAAUGGCGGAAGCCUCCGCCGCGGAACAGGGCGACCCGCAGCAGCUUGUCGCGAUUGGCGUUGGCGACUUGAAGCAAGCUCUAAAGAAAGAUGAUCCAUUUGACCGAUUGACACAUCGUGAUAAGGCAUUCAUUGAGGCUGCUAAAAUCUUCACCGUGGUGUGUGCUGGUGCUAUCAAUAUGUUGAAUGUUUUCGCCACCACCAUGUCCUACAAUCAUACUGUUAAGGAAUUCAAAAGGGUGCAUGCUGUGGUGAAACACGUUUUCAUAUCGUUGACUAUUGCCAUGUUUCCAUAUACAAUAUGUGUAUCUGGACUUGCUCAUGCAGUAGCACACAAGACUAGAUGGAUCAAUGUGCUGGCCCUGUGCAUGUUGAUCGAAUUGUGCUAUGUCGGUACAAUCUGCACCUUGUGUGGUUACUAUCUCACUGAGACGAGUAAGAAGGUCAUAUUCCCUGUCUCUAGCAUUGUAACUGGGAUUCUCCUCUUCAUCUACUUCAUGAUGUUCCGGCGUCCGGGUCCGAGGAACUGUGGCCCAAAGAAGAAGACUGCGAAGAAGGAUGAAAAGUCUCCGGGGGGUGGUGCCUGA